GACGAACGCUGGCGGCGUGCCUAAUACAUGCAAGUCGAGCGGAGUUGAUGAGGUGCUUGCACCUCUGAUGCUUAGCGGCGGACGGGUGAGUAACACGUAGGCAACCUGCCUGCAAGGCCGGGAUAACAUUCGGAAACGGAUGCUAAUACCGGAUACGCGGUUUUGUCGCAUGACGAAGCCGGGAAAGACGGCGCAAGCUGUUACUUGCAGAUGGGCCUGCGGCGCAUUAGCUGGUUGGCGGGGUAACGGCCCACCAAGGCGACGAUGCGUAGCCGGCCUGGGAGGGCGAUCGGCCACACUGGGACGGAGACACGGCCCAGACUCCUACGGGAGGCAGCAGUAGGGAAUCUUCCGCAAUGGACGAAAGUCUGACGGAGCAACGCCGCGUGAGUGAGGAAGGCCUUCGGGUCGUAAAGCUCUGUUGCCAGGGAAGAACGUCGCGGGGAGUAACUGCCCUGCGAAUGACGGUACCUGAGAAGAAAGCCCCGGCUAACUACGUGCCAGCCGCCGCCGUAACAC
rnacentral:rRNA from 1 species